CCAUAAUUGAAAAAAUCAUUUCUUUUUUGUUUCUUUGAGUAUCCAUUGGGAUUUUAGUUGUAGCUGGCGCAAGCUUGAGCUCAGAUAAAAUUCCAAUAAUGCAGUUUUGCCCUCAGAUGAGGAGGCUUUUACAGAAAUGCUGAGUAUGAAGGUAUCCAACUAAGUCAGUUAGAGAUCGAUCAGUCUCUUUUUGAUGCCCGC
rnacentral:lncRNA from 1 species